rnacentral:rRNA from 1 species
GACGAACGCUGGCGGCGUGCUUAACACAUGCAAGUCGAACGGAAAGGCCCUGCUUUUGUGGGGUGCUCGAGUGGCGAACGGGUGAGUAACACGUGAGUAACCUGCCCUUGACUUUGGGAUAACUUCAGGAAACUGGGGCUAAUACCGGAUAGGAGCUCCUGCUGCAUGGUGGGGGUUGGAAAGUUUCGGCGGGUGGGGAUGGACUCGCGGCUUAUCAGCUUGUUGGUGGGGUAGUGGCUUACCAAGGCUUUGACGGGUAGCCGGCCUGAGAGGGUGACCGGCCACAUUGGGACUGAGAUACGGCCCAGACUCCUACGGGAGGCAGCAGUGGGGAAUAUUGCACAAUGGGCGGAAGCCUGAGGCAGCAACGCCGCGUGCGGGAUGACGGCCUUCGGGUUGUAAACCGCUUUCGCCUGUGACGAAGCGUGAGUGACGGUAAUGGGUAAAGAAGCACCGGCUAACUACGUG